AUUGAACGCUGGCGGCAUGCCUUACACAUGCAAAUCGAACGGUAACGGGCCUUCGGGUGCCGACGAGUGGCGAACGGGUGAGUAAUACAUCGGAACGUGCCCGAUCGUGGGGGAUAACGAGGCGAAAGCUUUGCUAAUACCGCAUACGAUCUACGGAUGAAAGCAGGGGACCGCAAGGCCUUGCGCGGACGGAGCGGCCGAUGGCAGAUUAGGUAGUUGGUGGGAUAAAAGCUUACCAAGCCGACGAUCUGUAGCUGGUCUGAGAGGAUGAUCAGCCACACUGGGACUGAGACACGGCCCAGACUCCUACGGGAGGCAGCAGUGGGGAAUUUUGGACAAUGGGCGCAAGCCUGAUCCAGCCAUGCCGCGUGCAGGAUGAAGGCCUUCGGGUUGUAAACUGAUUUUGUACGGAACGAAAAGCCUUCUUUAAUACAGGAGGGUCAUGACGGUACCGUAAGAAUAAGCACCGGCUAACUACGUG
rnacentral:rRNA from 1 species